AUGUGUGCCAUGCCAAGCCUUUAGGCUGAUUUUACAGUCGCGCAAAUAACUGCGCGUAAAAACGCCUCUUAAAAUAUCACAUAUUUUCGGCCGUAUACGCGGCUGAAAUGUAGCCUGAACUUGUAAUUUUGUUUAGCACGCGGUGUCGAACGAAACGCGGGCGAUUUAAGCGUUGUCGGCCAUGCGAUCGACGGUAUAGUGUGAGAAAGCCUUGUUGUAAGCCCAAACGCAAACGCCGCUGCCCACGCAGAAGAAAGUCUUCUUGUGGACGAAAAUCACGCUACAUGUACCGUUGCCGAUCACGUUCAGGAGCAUUCAAGCGCUGCCGCAAGUGCGAUCGUCGGUACCGCGUCAGACGUAGAUCCUCAUCACGAUAAACUAAACAUACAAUAUUGGUGGCUGGUAUUGUCUUGUUGGUGAUUUGCUCUCCAUUCCAAGUGUUCGAGAAAUUGUGCUAGUGACUCCCAUAUGUUUAUAAAAUACUCAAAUUAAGAGAAAUUUAUUUAAA